rnacentral:rRNA from 1 species
AUUGAACGCUGGCGGCAUGCCUUACACAUGCAAGUCGAACGGCAGCACGGGAGCUUGCUCCUGGUGGCGAGUGGCGAACGGGUGAGUAAUACAUCGGAACGUACCCUGAAGUGGGGGAUAACGUAGCGAAAGUUACGCUAAUACCGCAUAUUCUGUGAGCAGGAAAGAGGGGGAUCGCAAGACCUCUUGCUUUAGGAGCGGCCGAUGUCGGAUUAGCUAGUUGGUGAGGUAAAGGCUCACCAAGGCGACGAUCCGUAGCGGGUCUGAGAGGAUGAUCCGCCACACUGGGACUGAGACACGGCCCAGACUCCUACGGGAGGCAGCAGUGGGGAAUUUUGGACAAUGGGCGCAAGCCUGAUCCAGCCAUGCCGCGUGAGUGAAGAAGGCCUGGUGUAAG